rnacentral:rRNA from 1 species
UACAGAGGGGGCAAGCGUUGUCCGGAUUUACUGGGCGUACAGCGCGCGCAGGCGGAGCUGGACGUGCCGUGUGACAGACCACCGCUCACCGGUGGAGGGCCACGGUACACGACAGCUCUGGAGGCAGGGAGAGGGAUGUGGAAUGCCCGGUGGAGCGGUGAAAUGCGUAGAGAUGGGGGAGAACACUCGUGGCGAAGGCGGCCAGCUAGACCAGUUCUGACACUGAGGCGCGACAGCGUGGGGAGCAAACAGG